AUGGCAGAGUUGGAUGAACUACUAUACAGAGAAGAGAUGAUGUGGCUCCAGCGCAGUCGUAUUGUCUGGUUGAAGGAGGGAGACCGGAACACGCAAUACUUCCAUCGUCAGGCAGUGUGGAGGGCUAGAAGGAAUAAUAUCCGUCGGUUGCAAAAAGAUGAUGGGUCCUGGUGUAGUGUGCCUUCGGAGAUGGAACGGAUGGCGGCCUCUUAUUUCCAGGAGUUGUAUACGAAGGAUCCCACUUUGUCGCCUGAAUUAGUAUUGGAUCAGAUCACGCCAAAGGUUACAGAUGCUAUGAAUGAGAGCCUUUUGGCGCCAUUUUCUGAGAAGGAGAUUUCAGACGCUCUAUUUCAGAUCGGUCCUUUAAAGGCACCCGGUCCAGAUGGUCUUCCUUCUCGGUUCUUUCAAAGAAACUGGAGUUGUGUCAAGGAGGAAAUUGUUGCAGGGGUUCGAAAAUUCUUUGACACGGGUCAGAUGCCCCUUGGUGUGAAUGAAACAGCUAUUGUGCUUAUCCCAAAGAUUCAACACCCCGUGUCUCUCAAGGAUUUCCGUCCUAUAUCUCUAUGCAAUGUGGUCUACAAGAUUGUUUCAAAGUGUUUGGUAAAUCGACUCCGUCCGCUUCUUACGGAUCUUAUUUCUGAAAACCAAAGUGCUUUUAUCCCGGGCCGGUUAAUUUCAGAUAAUUCUAUUAUUGCUUUUGAAUGUAUUCAUCACAUCCAAUCGUCAUCGAGGCAGGAUUUUUGUGCUUAUAAGCUGGACUUGUCGAAGGCAUAUGACCGUGUUAAUUGGGAUUUUUUGGAACAAGCGUUACUGAAAUGGGGUUUUUUAUCCCAAUGGGUGUCUCUGGUUAUGCAAUGUGUACGCUCGGUCAGAUUUUCAGUGAAAUUCAAUGGGCGUCUCUUGGAGCAAUUCUCACCUUCCCGAGGUUUGCGACAAGGUGACCCCCUCUCCCCCUUUUUAUUCCUCUUUGUCGCUGAUGCGCUAUCUUCUCUGUUACAUAAUGCGGUCCAAACAAGAGGGUUGGAGGCCAUCAAGAUAUGUAGAAGGGCGCCCACUAUCUCACACCUUUUAUUCGCGGAUGAUUCCCUAUUAUUCUUCCGAGCAACCACGGAUCAGGCGCAACUUGUUAAGGAUGUCUUGAAUACUUAUGCUUCAUCUACGGGUCAACUUAUAAACCCUUCAAAGUGUUCCAUCCUGUUUUCUGACAGUUGUCUGGAUAUGGUUGCUGAUGAUGUUAAGCAAAUAUUGGGGGUAGUUCAGCAAGAGUUUGAACCAAAAUACUUAGGCCUUCCAGUCCCGGAAGGUAGAAUGCACAAGGGAAGGUUCGAAUCACUGCAGUCCAGGUUGUGCAAGGUGAUCACUGAAUGGAGUGAGAGGUACUCAUCGUAUGCAAGCAAGGAGGUGUUAAUAAAAGCAGUUGCCCAAGCUCUUCCCGUAUAUGUUAUGAGUAUUUUCAAGCUUCCCUUCUCGGUUUGUGAUGACCUCACGAAGAUGAUGAGACAAUACUGGUGGGGGGUGGAAAAUGGAAAGAGGAAGAUGGCAUGUUAG
rnacentral:rRNA from 1 species